rnacentral:rRNA from 1 species
UGGGGAAUUUUGCGCAAUGGGGGCAACCCUGACGCAGCAACGCCGCGUGCGGGACGACGGCCUUCGGGUUAUAAACCGCUUUCAGCAGGGAAGAAAUUCGACGGUACCUGCAGAAGAAGCUCCGGCUAACUACGUGCCAGCAGCCGCGGUAAUACGUAGGGAGCGAGCGUUAUCCGGAUUCAUUGGGCGUAAAGAGCGCGUAGGCGGCCUCUCAAGCGGGAUCUCUAAUCCGAGGGCUCAACCCCCGGCCGGAUCCCGAACUGGGAGGCUCGAGUUCGGUAGAGGCAGGCGGAAUUCCCGGUGUAGCGGUGGAAUGCGCAGAUAUCGGGAAGAACACCGAUGGCGAAGGCAGCCUGCUGGGCCGCAACUGACGCUGAGGCGCGAAAGCUAGGGGAGCGAACAGG